rnacentral:lncRNA from 1 species
AAUUAUAUAGAACUUCCCUUUGCUCUCUUUGGCUCAUUUGACGAAUAUUCAUCUUGGUAAACUUUGUAGAUUACAAAAAUCUACAUAUUGUUGCAACAUAAUCUCCUAUUACUGGUACAAAACUACAUAAAUAUAUUGCAUUAGUUGCUCUAUUUACCUUCUGUCUGUGCUAACAAAAUAUAUAAUAUAGUAGUCAAUAGUUUGAACAACGGUUUGAAAUGUUUUUACAUAGUUGAGAAAAUCAAGGCUUUAAUAUAUGUCCCUUAAGAAACUGGAAGAAAGAACACUACAUCCUUCCGUUAAAGUUUGAUUGUUCUGAUGUAGAUUGGAACCAAUUCCUGAAGCAUAACAAAAAAUUUAGUGUCAAUGCUAGCAACAAAUUCAUAAAUCUAAAGGUACACACAAAUUAUGAUCAUGCAGAAGUGAUAUUGUUGUGCCCCUAACAAACCAAGAACAAACUGAAGCAACAUCAAUAAUCGUGAAUUAAAUUUGAUUCCAGCAAGCACAAAGAGGUGCAGAGCACUGAUACUUGAUCACACCUUUUUACUCUUUGUUGAAUAUUAUUCUCUCUCUCUCUAGCAAUUUCAUCAUGGAGAUUAAUGUCAUUAUGAAUCCAUGUCCUCCAGCUCCAGCUCUUGCUUAUUAAAAAAAUAUAGCAGAGUUCCUACGGGGGAAGGGAGACAAUGUAAGCCGAUCAGAAACAAUCCAGCAGGGCAUACCUAGACAUUUAUAAACUAUUGUCUUAGCUGCAACUCCUGUGUGUAGCCACUCCAGUAGCAUACAUUUGUCAAUUAUAAACAGACUGAAAAAGUGGAAAUAUUAAUCUAGAAAAAGAUAAUUCACCAAUCGGUAAGAAAUAUAAAACACCACUCCAUGUUUUACUUUUCAAUUUGGUUGUUUGGCUUCGGAGUGUUGAUCGUAGCAGAAACAAAUGAUCGGAUCAAAGUCUAUAUGUUGAAGUAAUAUGCUGCUUCUAAAACUCGUGAUUUGGAAAUAUUUAGAACUUCUGUUAUCUAUGGAUCAUCUUAACGAAUGUCCAUCUUGGCUACCUUUUUAGAAUACAAAAAUCUGCACAAUAAUGCAUAAGAAACUACUAUUAAUUUUUUUACUCUUCUUGCUGUUAUGAAUAGAUACUACAAC